rnacentral:rRNA from 1 species
UACGUAGGGUGCAAGCGUUGUUCGGAAUCAUUGGGCGUAAAGCGCGUGUAGGUGGUUAUGUAAGUCGAGUGUGAAAUCCCUGGGCUCAACCGAGGAAGUGCACCCGAAACUACAUAGCUAGAGGACGGUAGAGGAAGGUGGAAUUCCUAGUGUAGAGGUGAAAUUCGUAGAUAUUAGGAGGAAUACCGGUGGCGAAGGCGGCCUUCUGGGCCGUUACUGACACUGAGACGCGAAAGCGUGGGGAGCAAACAGG